rnacentral:lncRNA from 1 species
AGUGCGCUUUUUGCCAAAGGAGUCGAAUAAUUUGAGCUUUUUAUGGCCUGCAGCCUAUGGACGGCCUCUACUGUUGAUCAACACCUUAAAGCCACAUGUUAAAGAGUGCGCUUUUGCCAAGGAGUCGAAUAAUUGAGUUUUAUGAGAGAGAGAGAGAGAGAGAGAGAGAGAGAGAGA